GUUUCUGUCGACAUAAGAUAGUUUAUUUGUUUCUCUCGAUGAGGGAUUCUAGUAUUUAAUCGGUGUCACUGAUAUAUUCGUGCUGAAAACUUUUCUGUCGAUAAAAAAAAUGGGCACAAAUGAGAAUUUGGAACCGACCAUUUUAAUUUAUUGCCGGCUGUGAAAUGAAAACGUGUGGUUCUGGAAGAUCUUUUGAAAUGACUACGCAGUUUUGCCAUUUUGGUAGAAGUAAAACUAAAACUGAUUUUCCCUGACUUAUUCGUGGUCUCUAAACGCUUGGUAAACUUAUUCAAAUUAGUGUCAGAUGAUGAAUAAAGGUCAAAUUUGUUGCAUUCGAAGGAGAGCGAUAGGCAAAAUACUAGAUUUGGUAGUAUUUUUUUGGAGGUUGAUAGGUCGAUAGGCGAAGGGGCAAGGCGAUCAACGGUGCCGGUGAAAGAGCGCGAGGGGGGAAUGUAAGAGAGGGGAAUAUUGAGGGAUCCACGAGCCAGCUCACCCACACCCUCAAGAAUGCCAUGCUAUGCCCUUGAAUUUGGUUCAAGGGCAAUAGAAGAGAUGAGAUCAGCUGCAGCAAGGGGGACUGCGUAGAGUAGCUACGCUGAACAUGCCGGCAGUGGAAAAAUAAACAUCGGCAGUGUUAGGGCGUUUUGUGUGUGUGACCCUUUAGGAAAACAAACAGACCGGCCAACGUAGAGGACCUUUUUACCCGAAUCUAAAUAAAAAGGCAUAAAUUGUAUCGGCUGGCUUCCCGUAGAUGGGCCAAAAUUAACAUUCCCCGGCCCGCGGAAUCCUGGUCACACCCCUGCCCGGGCGCGACCCGCCACGGCGCCACCGACAAUUAAAUAAUUAAUUCAUGCAUACAUAAACGCAUACCUAUUUACAUGCGUUUAUAAAGACACACCAAAAUAAUAUCUGUCUAUAUUAAUUCAUAUUUAAUUAAUUAGCCGCCCCACAUAUAUUUACCGACCCUAUUAAUGUAAUAUAAAUGUAGUAUUUGUAUUUAUAUUUAUUUUAAUAUUUAUAUUUAUUAUUUUUGUGAUUAUUCCCACCCAUUAAUUUAAGUUGAAGAGUCGGGAAUAGGCGGACGCGCCACGAGACAUUAGUAUAGGGAUUUUUAGUUAAGUAUGUGUUAAGUUUUUGAUUUAAAUAUUAUAACGUUUGAAAUGAA